AUUGAACGCUGGCGGCAGGCCUUACACAUGCAAGUCGAACGAGUGGCGUACGGGUGAGUAAGGUAUCGGAACGUGCCUAGCGGAUGGGGAUAACUGCCGGAAACGACAGCUAAUACCGCACACUAGACGAUCGGCCGAUGUUGGUUUAUCUGGUGGGGGGGGUAAAGGCACACCAAGGCGACGAUCCGUAGCUGGUCUGAGAGGAUGAUCCGCCACACGGGAACUGAGACACGGCCCAGACUCCUACGGGAGGCAGCAGUGGGGAAUAUUGGACAAUGGGCGCAAGCCUGAUCCAGCCAUGCCGCGUGUGUGAAGAAGGCCUUCGGGUUGUAAAGUACUUUUGUCAGGGAGGCGGUACCGGCAGAAUAAGCACCGGCUAACUCCGUGCCAGCCGCCGCGGUAAUAC
rnacentral:rRNA from 1 species